AACACUGUUAACCUGCGGUACCUGCGGAAGGAUCAUUACCGAGUUUACAACUCCCAAACCCCUGUGAACAUACCACUUGUUGCCUCGGCGGAUCAGCCCGCUCCCGGUAAAACGGGACGGCCCGCCAGAGGACCCCUAAACUCUGUUUCUAUAUGUAACUUCUGAGUAAAACCAUAAAUAAAUCAAAACUUUUAACAACGGAUCU
rnacentral:misc_RNA from 1 species